rnacentral:rRNA from 1 species
GAUGAACGCUGGCGGCGUGCCUAAUACAUGCAAGUCGAGCGAACAGACGAGGAGCUUGCUCCUCUGACGUUAGCGGCGGACGGGUGAGUAACACGUGGAUAACCUACCUAUAAGACUGGGAUAACUUCGGGAAACCGGAGCUAAUACCGGAUAAUAUAUUGAACCGCAUGGUUCAAUAGUGAAAGACGGUUUUGCUGUCACUUAUAGAUGGAUCCGCGCCGCAUUAGCUAGUUGGUAAGGUAACGGCUUACCAAGGCAACGAUGCGUAGCCGACCUGAGAGGGGGAUCGGCCACACUGGAACUGAGACACGGUCCAGACUCCUACGGGAGGCAGCAGUAGGGAAUCUUCCGCAGUGGGCGAAAGCCUGACGGAGCAACGCCGCGUGAGUGAUGAAGGUCUUCGGAUCGUAAAACUCUGUUAUUAGGGAAGAACAAAUGUGUAAGUAACUAUGCACGUCUUGACGGUACCUAAUCAGAAAGCCACGGCUAACUACGUG